rnacentral:rRNA from 1 species
CAGCUUGCUGCUUCGCUGACGAGUGGCGGACGGGUGAGUAAUGUCUGGGAAACUGCCCGAUGGAGGGGGAUAACUACUGGAAACGGUAGCUAAUACCGCAUAACGUCGCAAGACCAAAGAGGGGGACCUUCGGGCCUCUUGCCAUCGGAUGUGCCCAGAUGGGAUUAGCUUGUUGGUGAGGUAACGGCUCACCAAGGCGACGAUCCCUAGCUGGUCUGAGAGGAUGACCAGCCACACUGGAACUGAGACACGGUCCAGACUCCUACGGGAGGCAGCAGUGGGGAAUAUUGCACAAUGGGCGCAAGCCUGAUGCAGCCAUGCCGCGUGUAUGAAGAAGGCCUUCGGGUUGUAAAGUACUUUCAGCGGGGAGGAAGGUGUUGUGGUUAAUAACCGCAACAAUUGACGUUACCCGCAGAAGAAGCACCGGCUAACUCCGUGCCAGCAGCCGCGGUAAUACGGAGGGUGCAAGCGUUAAUCGGAAUUACUGGGCGUAAAGCGCACGCAGGCGGUCUGUCAAGUCGGAUGUGAAAUCCCCGGGCUCAACCUGGGAACUGCAUUCGAAACUGGCAGGCUUGAGUCUCGUAGAGGGGGGUAGAAUUCCAGGUGUAGCGGUGAAAUGCGUAGAGAUCUGGA